rnacentral:rRNA from 1 species
GACGAACGCUGGCGGCGUGCUUAACACAUGCAAGUCGAACGGAAAGGCCCUGCUUUUGUUGGGUGCUCGAGUGGCGAACGGGUGAGUAACACGUGAGUAACCUGCCCUUGACUUUGGGAUAACUUCAGGAAACUGGGGCGAAUACCGGAUAGGAGCUCCUGCUGCAUGGUGGGGGUUGGAAAGAUUCGGCGGUUGGGGAUGGUCUCGCGGCUUAUCAGCUGGUUUGUGGGGUAGGUGCUUACCAAGGCUUUGACGGGUAGGCGGCCUGGGAGCGUGACCGGCCACAUUGGGCCUGCGAUACGGCCCAGACUCCUACGGGAGGCAGCAGUGGAGAAUAUUGCACAAUGGGCGGAAGCCUGAUGCAGCAAUGCCGCGUGCGGGAUGACGGCCUUUGGGUUGUAAACCGCUUUCGACUGUGACGAAGCGUGAGUGACGGUAAUGGGUAAAGAAGCACCGGCUAACUACGUG